rnacentral:SRP_RNA from 1 species
CCUUUAGACCUGUGCAAUGGUAUCUUGAGACAAUGUGUCAGGGUAGGAAUACAGCAGCACACCUUGAUUUAUCAUGUGCCGCAGGUAUCUGGAGGGGA